GAGUAAUCUAUGCACAAUGAAAAACAUAAACAACUAUGUUUUUUCAGUUUACAGUGCUUCCUUUUUUGUGAUUACUUUUCAUAUGCCUUGUAUGCUUCAAAUUCUAAUGUCUAAGUCUUCAUUUUCUAAUUGAAAAAGUACUUUUGCAUGUGUUCUUAUUUUCCUGUUUUGCAUUCUUUUCAUGAUUUACAUUUCUGAUUCCAGAAAACUUGAUAACAUCCAACUAUGGAGCCACCCAAAUAGAUAAACAAGAACAAGAACAAGCAAAAGAACAAGGUGUUGUCACACAAAACGACAAACAAGAAGAACAACAAGGGUUGUGUACCCACUCAACUUCAACCUCAGCUCCAAACCCAACCUCACCCCCAACCUAUUCCAAAUAUAACACAACCUUCACUCACUCAACCCUAACCUCAGCCUCAACCUAUUCCGUAUUUGAUUCAUUCUAAACUAGCUCAAUCCCGACCACAACCUCAAUCCCGGACUAUUCCACCGUUGUUUCUAUCUCAACCUCAAUCCAUCCCAUCUCAACCCGGUCAAGCUCAAUCCAUGUUUAGAUCUAUAUCUCAAUUCCAACAUUCUCAACCUCAACUUCAAUCUACCCAAUCACACCUUCGACCACAAUCUACACAAUCUCACCCUCCAUUAACUCAACUUGAACCAAGUCAACCUCAACCUCGAUCACGGUCUCAAUCCACCCAACCUCACCCUCAAUCCACUCAACCUCAACGAAGUCAACCACUACCGCGGCCUCAAUCCAACCCAAUCUCACCCUCAAUCCACUCAACCUCAACAAAAUCAACCUCUACCGCGGCCUCAAUCCACCCAAUCUCACCCUCAACCCACUCAACCUCAACAAAAUCAACCUAAAAAACGACCCAUCCAUACCCAAGUUAUGGUCAAUAGAGCUCCAUCUUCAGCUAGCCAUGUUAGUGGAGACACCGUUGGUACUAAAAUACCAAUAAUUCCAGAUGGUGAGGGGUGAGUUUGUUGCUCCCAUAUAAUAAUGAUUAUUUGGCUAAUAUAAAUAUGGCUGACACAUGAUUCUGUUAACUUGCCUUUUGGAUCAAGUAACAAUGCAAGACUGUUGUGCUUGUGGUAUUAUGAUUUUAGUGGUCAAAUCUAAAAAUUCAUAUUAUUUUUUUUCGUGUACAUUAUAUUAUGGAGUUAACAGUCAAGUCAACCACAUUUAUAUUCAAAAAAAGAUGGACUUAUCUACUCAGAAUCUACCCAUUUAUAUUCUGGAGUUGCAAAUGAGGCACCAAAUGCAACGGCAAGAAAAAGAGAUGAGCAAAACUAAUAAAAAACUUGCUGUCAUUAUGAAACAUUUGGGAUUUGUUGGAUCUUCUUCCCAUGUUUCAAAUCCCAACAGUGAAUCAAAUGAGCACAUUGAUGAAGAGGACAACAAUGAUUUUUUUGAAGAUGACCAUGAUUUUUCUGAAGAUGUUGAUGAAGAUAACAAUAGUUAUCAUAUUGAUAACUAGUAACUUGGAGUCUCAAAUUAUGAUAAUGCUGGUGUUAUUGUGAAUCCUAAGGGAGAAAUGAAAGGUUCCGUUAUCACAGGACCAAUUGGAAAGGAGUGUGCUGAUCUUUGGCCUAGGAUUGCAAGUGCUGCCAAUGUCAUUGUAUGAGUGUUGAUUCUGUUUC